UGCGUGAGUUUGGUUAGAUAGGUUAUAAUUAAUGUUGACAAAAACAGAAAGUGUUACCCAUUUAUAUACACAAGAAGAAAUUAAGGAAGGAAAAGUAAAAGAUGAAACUGAAGACUGAAACCAAAUUUCAACCUAAGGGACAAAAUGUGACACAAGUUUUAAAGUCAAGGUGACUGUACUGUUAAGUCGGAGAACAGAGACAAUUAAAUAAAAGAAGUUGGAAUGUAAAAAUAAGAUUUGGUUGUUCGAUGAAAACAUUACAAUGAAAACGUGUGACACAGGGCAUGUGAAGAAAUAAUUAUGAUGCUCAAGCAUUUUGAACAUGAGAUUAAACAAAAUCACCUAUCUGCUUUGGUCAAAAAUGUGACAACAUGAGCUCAAGAUAAGUGUGGAAAAGUUCAUAGUUCAUCUCUGGCAGUUAUCGACAAGAUUCUGGAAUAUGUAAAUAUACCAUCUGCUGCAAAAUAUAAGGGCUCAUUAAGACCGAUUUUCUUCAACCACAAGAGGACAACAAUGCCAACACCACAAAUAAUAGAACAUCAGAUAUUGGGCAACUUAAAAUUAUAUAAUGUACAAAAUGGUUCCACACCUAUAUACAUAUUAGGCACAAUUAUUUAAAAUAGGCAAUUCUAUUGUAUUAAUUAUAUUAUACUUCAGAUAAAUUCUAUUGUCAUUGUCAAUAAUAAGGUUUAUAACCUGCUGCUCCUUCAACAUUGGGGUUGUUAAUUUGACAAUGUCAUAACUUAAGUAUUUGAAAUUGGCCUAACAUGAUUAAAGAUUAUUGUCAAUACUUCAACACUCCCUAAAUGGAAAAUAUUUGCACUUUGCUUAACUAUGCUUAUUAAGGAAGUAAUUACUACUUAAAAUUCAUCUUUAUUGUUGUGAUUAGUUGUGCGGAAAACAAAUCUAUAUGUUUUUAUAAAAGUUAUGCGUUUUCUAUGUUUUUUCUGGAUUUGAUAAAUAUUCCGCUAUAAAAGUUUCGAAUAAAAUCUGCUGAAACCACUCAAAAUUGAGUGGGGUGAGAAAAAGAUGGUACCGAAGUACUGAAAUCUCCCCAAUAACGAUUCUGUUCUAACCAAUAGGGUUUGCUGUCACGAAUGGAAGAAUUUUUGGUCAGAAAAAUCGGUUGUGGAAAAAUUAAAAUUUCGGCAUUCGAGGGUAAAAACCAGUCUUUUUAUUUCCUUUAGAGACUAUAAUUUCUACAACGGAGUGACGGUGAUGUAUGCCUUGCUUAUGAAGAGUUCUUAUUGUAGUUGAACAUACCCUCAGCUUUGCAGCAAAAUUCUAGGUGCGUUGAAACCCAGAUUCUCCUUGUAUUCGUUAUCCUGAUGGUCACCCUGUUCUUCUCUGUUAAACUGUAUCUUAUUGCAGCUAUAUCUGGUAAUUGCGUCCUCUGCAACUGAAUCCUUUAAACACUCUUUAACUAGAAUCAAUCUCUGUUCCACUUCCACAUUAUUUACUUUACAGAAAUUUUCGAAAGAUUUAAUAAAUUGCAAAGGCAACUCGUUUAUACUAGAAUCAGAAAACACUGGUUUUUCAAUAUCUAAAGUAAGUGAAGAUGAAUGUGAACGAUUAGCCAAAGCCAUGACGA